rnacentral:rRNA from 1 species
CCUGAACGCUGGCGGCGUGGCUAAGACAUGCAAGUCGCACGGGCCUAGCAAUAGGUCAGUGGCGAACGGGUGAGUAAUGAAUCGCUAACGUGCCCCGGACUCUGGGAUAGCUGGCCGAAAGGCUAGGUAAUACCAGAUGACAUAACCCUUCCGCAUGGUGGGGUUCUCAAAGGUCCGCCGGUCUGGGAGCGGGCGAUUUCGUAUCAGCUAGUUGGUGCGGGUAACGGCCCACCAAGGCGACGACGCGUAGCCGGACUGAGAGGUUGGCCGGCCACAUUGGGACUGAGACACUGCCCAGACUCCUACGGGGGGCUGCAGUAACGAAUCUUCCGCAAUGCACGCAAGUGUGACGGAGCGACGCCGCGUGUGGGACGAAGCCCUUCGGGGUGUAAACCACUGUCAGGGGACAGAAAGUUCUGAUCGUCCCCAGAGAAGGCACGGCUAACUCUGUGCCAGCAGCCGCAGU